GAUGAAGAACGUAGCGAAAUGCGAUAAGUAAUGUGAAUUGCAGAAUUCAGUGAAUCAUCGAAUCUUUGAACGCGCAUUGCGCCCCCUGGUAUUCCGGGGGGCAUGCCUGUUCGAGCGUCAUUUCACCACUCAAGCCUCGCUUGGUGUUGGGCAACGCGGUCCGCCGCGUGCCUCAAAUCGACCGGCUGGGUCUUCUGUCCCCUAAGCGUUGUGGAAACUAUUCGCUAAAGGGUGUUCGGGAGGCUACGCCGUAAAACAACCCCAUUUCUAAGGUUGACCUCGGAUCAGGUAGGGAUACCCGCUGAACUUAAGCAUAUCAAUAAGCGGAGGA
rnacentral:misc_RNA from 1 species